GGCCAUUUCCCUCUCUAUCUUUGCCUCUCUUAAUCUCUCUCUAGCAUAUAAAUCUCUCUGAAACCGGUCCAAGUUAAGCAAUGGCAGGCGGGUAGGUUUGAAAAGGGUUGGUGGAAAUGGGUUUUGCCUUCACUCGGAUUAUCGACUCCACCAACCAACUUUAGCCCACCACAAAUUACUGAAAAAUAUUGGCAAAUUUCAAAGAACAGAGGAGGCGGC
rnacentral:misc_RNA from 1 species